AUUGGUUCUGUUCAGAUGUUAUGGAGGGUGGGGGGCAGAGCUGCAUCCGUGGGGUGGGUAGGAUCCUGCUCCUCACAAUGUGCUGGCAGGGAGGCACUUUUACAGGUAGCGCCGAAGACACACAGCAUGAGGCAGCUGCUGGGCGCUGAAGCGUCUUUACAGCUGGCUGUAGGCAGGAGCAAUUGGAUCUGCCUUGUGAGAGGCCCUGCACCUUUGGGGGCCCCAAAUGUGAUCAAACAAUGUGGCCAUAUGAGCCCAGCCCACCCUCUCCCAGACCUCUGGGCCACUCCCCUAGCCGGAGUCCCCAUCUCUGAUUCAGGCUGAGUACAUGGCUCCAUUCUGAGCAGUCACAAGAGGCCAGCUGGAGGGGCAGGUUGCUUGGCAGCAGCUGCAAAGGAAGCAGGUAGGGCCCACUGGCCGCUGCAGGCUUUUGCAAAGAAGGGAUUGAUCCUGUCUCAGGGGCCGCUUGGUUUUUCUGUCCAGGCAGCAGGGAGCAAACAAACACCCCAGCAGUUCUCCUGCUCUGACGUCAAUUAAAGGCUCCGACAGGUCCGCGACGUCAGCCAAGAUGUAUUGCAAACAGAUGGAAAGCCCUUGAAAAGUCUAUUCCUCGCGGAAGGGAAGUAAUAUACAGUGUCUCCUUCAGGCUGACGCUCAGGCCGCCUGGUGCAGGGGGCUGUUUACUCGCCAUGGAGAGGCCUCAGGGCUCCCACUGCCUUUUCUGUCUGAGGAUUUCUAUGCUGUAGCCAGCGCUGCACAAAAUCAGGUCUGCGGCUGAAAAAAUCUGCUCCAGCAGAAGAGAAAUUCCGGUCUCAUUGACCCCCGGAGACUCUAUGGAUGACUGGAGAACUAGCAUGUUGAUGACAUCACAGAUCCCAAUGAAGUGAAACCACAUUCGCUGAGAGGGGAAAUUGGUUUUAUUCAGCCUCUUUAACCCUGGCUCUGGUUUGGUUUUUGUAUCGCCCGUUUAACUCAAACACCCAGCAAAAAGAUAGAAGAGAUGACAGUGUUGUUAAAGAUUCAUAUUCCCCUGACCCUUCCAUUAAAGACUGAGAAAAUGGCCAACGUACAUCUGAGACCCCGCCCCUCAGAAGGAUAAAGGCACAGUGCAGAGGAAUAGCAUCACCACUUCAAGCUGUAUACACAGGAAAGGGCUGACAAUUGUUCCCUCAUGGUGGUGGAAACACUGCUCCCCCAGGAGAGCCAAAGGAGCUGUGAAGUGUAUCCCAGGUGCCCUGUUUGCAUCCUCUGUCCCCAGCAUAGAAGUGUUGACCUGCAGGCUGCCAGGAGCUGGAGUGGGUUGAUGGCUUUGACGCUGAUUUAACUUCCCAGCUAGUGGACUUACUCUCCCUGGGGCUCAAACUCACUGCCCCAAACUGAAUUGAGCCCUAAGCCUUUAUACAACCUACCACUCAGUUGCUGAUAAAUAAAAAAGACUCUGGGCUUUCUGUUGUCAUUUACAACAGUGCAAAGUGAGUGUAUAACGCCACCAAAUCUUGGAUGAGAUUUUCAGAGCCCCCAAAGGACACCUAUUUCCCAUUCACGCAGAUGAAUGGGAACUGGCUGUUCAAAUCUCUUCCUUGCCUUUGAGGAUGUCAGCCCUACGCUCUCUCAGAAGGCAAAUGAAAAGAACUCAUUAUUAUUAUUACUUUUUUACUCCCCUCAUUUUAAAGACAAUCUCGAGAUUUUGACCCCUUGAGGUUGGAUAUGCUGCAGUACAGCACUCGUGAAAGGGUUUCCUGCCACGUGACCACCCACCAACUGAGAACUGGGAGCGUUCAUGCGAUCUGUCAAUGUUCAGUGCUAUCAGAUGAUUAAUUUUUUUGGACUCCCCAAUUUCAGAUAAAUUGUGUUUCCUUAUUAGGCUGUCAGUGCAUCGUUUGAACCUGGAACCUUGGUUACUUUCAGUACCAGGGUGGCAUUAGCAUCCUGGUGUAGUUCAGUGGCUGAGAGGCGGAGUUAGAACCUUAAUGUAAUUCGUGGGGAAUGUGUGUUAGAACCUGGGUUUGUUUCAGUGGCAGGGGGGCAGUGUUACCCCCAGGUUGAUAAAGAUUUUUCAUGGAAUUUAGGAGUGCAAAAGACCAUUGUACUGCCAAGAUAGUUCAGAAGCAUUUUGUUAGCUCAGAGGCAGAAUUUCCAGACAGAACGUUUGUUGUUUAUGUUAGAGAUGGACAAAGCUCUGCGGGAGGAGUGGGCUUGGAUCUGGUUUCUGUAUUUAGAUGAAACCAUAGCCCCCCCUCAUGCCAAAACCUUAGAAAAGUGGGAGCAUUCAGAGAGAUGGUUCAGGUGUUGCUCCAGCUGGUUUAUUUAUAUAUGGCUCUAUCCCCAUCUGUGCUGAAUUACCAAUCCUUUGAGUUGAUUUAUGUGUGUCCUUAUUGCCUCAUUCUCAAUCAGGCUCAUUCUUGCUUUCCUUUAUUUUUCCAAUCUUUCCUUCUGGGCUGCUGUGUUAAUCACCUGAGAUGAGAGAAGCUGUCUGUUGUCAUGACGACUCCUUCUCUGCUCUGGGCUUCGAGUCACAUCUAACUUACCUUGGGGUAAAUGCCUGUGACUGGAGGAGAUGAAGGAGGAAUUGAAAGCCGUGGCGUCCUCUUCCCAAGGAGGCUGUUGCCUUUGCAGUGAUUUUAGUGUGGUAUCAGCCCAGUGGUUGCUGCAGGGCACUGUGGGGGAAGUGCUGCACUGGCAGAGGUGAGGUCCUUCCAAUCGGAUGUUGGACUGAGAUUGCUGCAGUCUGUAUCUGGGAGAUGUUCAGGGGCAAGUCACAGCUCUGACUGCACCAUUCACAGAGAGCAGGGGCUACUCCCGGCUCCCUGCCAGCAGGCCAGCUCUCAUGAGGUCAGGUUCAAAUGUCCAAACCUGUGCAUUAUUACUGAGCACAUAAAAACUUUUUGCAAUGCACUGCAUUGGCAGGCUGCAUUGCCAUUGUUCGCUGGACUGCAUGGCGUUGACUGGCAGCAUUGCAAUGCCUUUUGGGCUGAGUGAAAUAGCAAAGAUGCCAUAAAAUAAAAAAAUCUGUACUAUUGUAAAAACUGAAGCGACUCUGAAAGCAUCAGUAACCUAAGCUCGGGCAGCUGAAGGCCAAGGUGUGUGACAGCCUGUCAUUUCUCCAGUGGUCUAGUGCAAAGGAGCCCAGGUCCUCAGGAAAUAUUGUCACCUGCAACAUUAAUCCGGACAGUGCAAAGUGUGGCAUAGUGCAAUGGCUCAUGCUGCCACCUGCUGGCGGUCGUCUGUUAGUCUAUAAGGUGCCACAGGAUUCUUUGCUGCUUUUACAGAUCCAGACUAACACGGCUACCCUCUGAUACUUGAUUCUGGAAUAAUACUUUUUCCCCCAGGGCCUUCUUUCAGCAUAGUGCUUCCAUGUGCAGUUUCUCUGGCCACUGUCUUGAAUGUCAUGCAAACAAAACAGAGGUGGUGCUAUUUCUGUUGCCCACUAUUUCUGCUUGGUGAAUCCAGCUUGUAUGGCAGGCAGCAGGGAGGGCUGACAAACAGAGCUGGCAUUUUUGGUUGGACUACUCUCCUGCCUAAGGAUAUGGCUUGGGCCACUGGAGGUGGUUACAUCUGCUUUUUGCUGCUUCCAGUAUAGAGCCCUGUAUCCUCCCCUCUCUGGACUGCAUUUGACAGUGAAAAGAGUCAGAACUGACCAUUUGCAAUGCAGACUGCAGGUACAAAAGGAUAAGCAUCCAAUGAGGACAGAAAGUAACACUUUGUCCUUCUGUAUCCCUUCCAUCUAAGAGUCCAAGAGCACUUAAAUAAUAAUUAGUUAGAACCUUCUAGCUCCCAGGGAAGGAGAUUCAGAUGGGAAACUGAGGCACAGGGAAAGACGGUCAACUGCCCAUGGUCUUGUAGAGUCUCUUUAGCAGAGAUGUUGUUAGGACCCAGGAGUGCUGUCUCCACAUCCUAUCAGGAUGUUUUUUUUCAAUGUUUGCAUGGGGGUGCCUCCUCCUCUGCCCCUAGGGAUGUAUCUGGAGCCCUCUCCGAGACAAGAGGUCAAAGAAUCAGUAAAGAAAUCUGUCCAUUUAUAAGGUGCUACUCUCUAGCGUCCUGAUGCCAAGACGGUAAUGGAGAAAUAAGGCUCAAACAGAGAGGCCUUUCGUUAACAGCUACAUGCAGGAUUUGCAAAGAUUUCUCACUGGAUUAGCUAAGGGCAGCUCCUACCUGUCCUGCCAAUGGGAGACUUGGCGCUGACAGACCCUGAAGGGUCCCUGUGAGUGUUUUAGGCAACUGGGGGACUAGUUUUUUCCCAGUUGUCAAAUGGGGCUAAUUGUACAGGUUAAGAGCUGCUGAGAGGAUGCCUCCUUCUGCCACCCAAAACACAACAUCCCUGGAUGGAUUGAUGGCCGUGGGAAAUGAACCUUGGACCUUAAUGCCUGAGCCUGUACUGCAUCUUCCAAAGCCACAGAAGGCUCAUUGACCUGUGUAUAUGGCCCAGCCACCACUAGAAGGCAGGCAGAGCACCCAACAGAGUGGGUGUAGCUUACAAGCGCACAAGUUCUAUUGGUCCUACAAAAUCUGGUGUCUUCACCUUGUUCUUGAGCGUUGUCUCUCAGCACCUGAUCUGUUAGCUAAUAAACUACAUAUGCACAGACAUCUCGUUUCUGGAGCACUGUUGUAACAAUAUUUAUCUCCCCGCUGCUGGGAGGAGCAGUCCCUGUUUGCAUAGUGCUUUGAACAUGCACGGUCAGUGCUGAGUGCUGGCCAGAUCUAAACAUAACAAACAGAGGCCACGACACCCUAAUUGCUAACAGGGACCAUCAGUCUCCGAAACCAGGUCACUUGAGCGGAUGGAGACCUUUUUAAAUCGUGAGCUAGUAGAAGGUUGUUACUGCUACUGAGACUAGUCACUAGGGGGAGACAAGAUCACGAUCAUUCAGCCAGCGUAUUACACUGAACCUUGACGGCUCCCAGGCCAGAGCCGGACCUGAAUGUUGUUGCUGAAUGCUUCCCAAAGGGAGAAACAGUCACUGGUGUUCCCUCACAGACCAGGGUGGCACUGCCCUGCACGGGGAACUCUUGGCCAUUGGCUCGUUAAUUGGCUUUAAUGUCUUUUCUUCCUCAGUGCCCAGAGGCCUGCUGGUUUUUGUGAGCUGUCAUUAGAGAGAGAUGGGUCAGCGGAGGAAAAAGAGUUGUGACAAAUUAGACAGCAGUUGCUGUUCCAAAGCUCUUUAGCUGCUGAUAAAUGGAGCGGAGACUGCAAGUGACUCCAGAGGAGCCAGAGAGGCUUUCAGAUCGGACGUGUGUGUUGUGAUUAGCAGAUGGUGGGAUGAACCCAGGUUUCAUUUGUGUCCUCAGCCCUAAAGCUCAUUGUGAUGCAGACAGGAAGGGGUGGGAUUGACUGGCCGGCAAAGUCCGGCAAAGAUGUACAGCACUGAUGAGAUCUUAAUCAGAAAUCAUAAUAAAUUCUCCUCUCAAAUGGACUGGAAUAAAGCUAUUAAGCUAAUAUAACAUCACGGAGGAAGGACGUUCUGUUGAUGCAAUCUCUGGGGAAUCUCAGCCGGAAUGAGGAGAAGAGGCCAAAGGUGCCAAAGCUCUAGCAACAGAACAUGGCAGACAGCACAUUUUUCUGUGUGUGUAGGGGCAGGAGGAUGGUAGCACACUGUGAGGUGAUGGAAGGACUAGGGGAAACAGCUAGGACUCCAGGAUUCCAUUCCUAGCUCUG